UACGUAGGGUGCGAGCGUUGUCCGGAUUUAUUGGGCGUAAAGAGCUUGUAGGCGGCUCGUCACGUCGGGUGUGAAAACUCGCGGCUCAACCGCGAGCCUGCACCCGAUACGGGCGGGCUGGAGUUCGGGCAGGGGAGACUGGAAUUCCUGGUGUAGCGGUGGAAUGCGCAGAUAUCAGGAGGAACACCGGUGGCGAAGGCGGGUCUCUGGGCCGAUACUGACGCUGAGAAGCGAAAGCGUGGGGAGCGAACAGG
rnacentral:rRNA from 1 species